rnacentral:rRNA from 1 species
AGAGAGUGCAAGCGUUAAUCGGAAUUACUGGGCGUAAAGCGCACGUAGGUGGAUAUUUAAGUCGGAUGUGAAAGCCCUGGGCUCAACCUGGGAAUUGCAUCCGAUACUGGGUAUCUAGAGUAUGGUAGAGGGAAGUGGAAUUUCCGGUGUAGCGGUGAAAUGCGUAGAUAUCGGAAAGAACACCAGUGGCGAAGGCGGCUUCCUGGACCAAUACUGACACUGAGGUGCGAAAGCGUGGGGAGCAAACAGGAUUAGAGACCCUGGUAGUCCACGCCGUCAACGAUGAGAACUAGCUGUUGGGAGGUUUACCUUUUAGUAGCGAAGCUAACGCGUUAAGUUCUCCGCCUGGGGAGUACGGUCGCAAGAUUA